AUAGGGGGUGAAUUCUGCCCAAUGGUUGUACAGUGAAACUAAGUACUAACGUAUAAAGCGAAACCCAACUGAAUGGCCGCGGUAACUCUGACCGUGAUAAUGUAGCACAAUAAAUAGCCAAUUAAUUGUUGGCGGGUAUGAAUGGAACCACGAGGGUUUUACUGUCUCAAGAGGAAAGCCGAUGAAAUUAUAGUUGUAGUGAAGAUACUACAUAGACAUUGUAAGACGAAAAGACCCUAUCGAGCUUUACUGGAUACCGAUAGCGUUAACUCAAAAUGAUCGAUACUAAGUAUUCUAAUUUUGAGUUAAUAAUUUUUGUUGGUGGGACAGUUUAGUUGGGGCGACUGCCUUUGAAUAAGAAACGAAGGCGAGCUUAUGGUAUACAAAGCUAAUCUCAUUAGCCUGACAGUGAGGGGGACACCCCUAGCUGGCACAAGGACUACAUCCUAUGUGGGCGAUAAUGACCCGAUAUAAUUGUCCAAAAUAAAUAUCGAAAGCGAAUAAAAGCUACCGUAGGGAUAACAGCGUAAUAUU
rnacentral:rRNA from 1 species